GCCAGCAUGGUGUAGUGGUUUGAGCACUGGACUAUGACUCUGUAGACCAGGGUUCUAAUCCCCACUCAGCCA